rnacentral:ncRNA from 3 species
AGAUAUGUUUGAUAUUCUUGGUUGUU